GGCGGCAAAAAGAUCUCUUAUAACAUAGAGUAAGAAGGAUUUCUUAUCAAUCAAGGCAGAUAGGUUCUGAGCAGUCACCUCCUAAAGCAGUCCCUUCCCUGGUUUCCUGGGUGGCAGUCUUCUAAUUAAAACCACCGCCACUAUCUGUGUAGGCUUUCUAUGGCGGUUUGCCCUUUUCUUUUGUAUUUUCUGAAUGGUUCCCUGUUUCCCGUUCUGAUUUAGAAAGUGUGAUCCG
rnacentral:lncRNA from 1 species